rnacentral:tRNA from 1 species
GGAUUGUGGCUCAGUGGCAGAGCACUUGCCUAGCAUGUGUGAGGCACUGGGUUCGAUCCUCAGCACCA